UACGUAGGGGGCAAGCGUUGUCCGGAUUCAUUGGGCGUAAAGAGCGUGUAGGCGGCCAGGCAGGUCCGCUGUGAAAACUCGAGGCUCAACCUCGAGAUGUCGGUGGAAACCGUCUGGCUAGAGUCCGGAAGAGGAGAGUGGAAUUCCCGGUGUAGCGGUGAAAUGCGCAGAUAUCAGGAGGAACACCGGUGGCGAAGGCGGAUCUCUGGGCCUGUUCUGACGCUGAGGCGCGAAAGCUAGGGGAGCGAACAGG
rnacentral:rRNA from 1 species